rnacentral:rRNA from 1 species
UAGGGAAUCUUCGGCAAUGGACGAAAGUCUGACCGAGCAACGCCGCGUGAGUGAAGAAGGUUUUCGGAUCGUAAACUCUGUUGGUAGAGAAGAACGUUGGUGAGAGUGGAAAGCUCAUCAAGUGACGGUAACUACCCAGAAAGGGACGGCUAACUACGUCCCAG